UACAGAGGGUGCGAGCGUUAAUCGGAUUUACUGGGCGUAAAGGGCGCGUAGGUGGUUGUGAACGUGUGAUGUGAAAGCCCCGGGCUUAACCUGGGAAGCGCAUCGCAAACGACAUAACUGGAGUAGAUGAGAGGGUGGUGGAAUUUCCGGUGUAGCGGUGAAAUGCGUAGAUAUCGGAAGGAACGUCAAUGGCGAAGGCAGCCACCUGGCAUCAUACUGACACUGAGGCGCGAAAGCGUGGGUAGCGAACAGG
rnacentral:rRNA from 1 species